UACGUAGGGACCAAGCGUUGUUCGGAUUUACUGGGCGUAAAGGGCGCGUAGGCGGCCAUUCAAGUCAGUUGUGAAAUCUCCGAGCUUAACUCGGAACGGUCAACUGAUACUGUUUUGCUAGAGUGCAGAAAGGGCAACCGGAAUUCUUGGUGUAGCGGUGAAAUGCGUAGAUAUCAAGAGGAACACCUGAGGCGAAGGCGGGUUGCUAGGCUGACACUGACGCUGAGGCGCGAAAGCUAGGGUAGCAAACGGG
rnacentral:rRNA from 1 species